AUCCUCUUUACUACCAACUAUCAACCCUCCUUUUGACAAUUUCUCUUUCUGGAUCUACAACGUGAAACUUCAAACGUGAAACUCCGGUGAAGCCAACGCAAGCGUCCUCUUCAACAUUGACAACAGAAAGCCCAGACACAGACUGCACUCCAGCCCAAGUCCAAGUGGCAGCUUGUUUUUUAAAAAAUAAAUACAUGCAUUACACAUAUGCUUUUCUUCUUUUGCAUAACUAGGCUAACUAAGGCUAUAAUAAUAACAGUAGUAAUAAUGGUAAUGGCCUCAUAAAUGCUAUAGGAUAAAGCAUAGGCCAAAUUUUAAGCCCCUAACAGAAAAAGCAAGCCCAUAUGGCGCUGCGGCAGGUUUUAUUUUUGGUGUCAAAAAUAGGUGUUGAACACGUAAUAAAACCCAAAUGUACACCUUAUUUGUACGUCCGUGGACGUGUUUU